AAAUUCUCAACCUCACCAACUUUGCGGUUGUGUGAAGGCUUGGAUGUGGGGGUUGCAGGUCCGCUUCACAGUGGUCUGCUCCUCUGAAACGCAUUAGUGGGUUAGUCCCCUCAUCUAUUGGUGUGAUAAUUAUCUACGCCUGUGGGUUUGGGAUGGCUGCAUAGACCUGCUCUCUAACCGACCUCACGGACAACAUA
rnacentral:misc_RNA from 1 species